rnacentral:lncRNA from 1 species
AACCAGUUUCAGUUAGACUAAAGUCUAAACUAAAACUGUUGUUCCUAUUCUUACCGCAAUUCUAGACUCGGUUUCCGAGUUCAGAGUAAGAUUAUGACCUGUCUCAGUGAUAAAACACACGACAUAAAUGAAGAUAGAUUUAUUGUCAAUAAAUAGGUCAUCUGUAAGGUCAGGCAUAAUCUUCCAAAAUAACUGUGCAUUCGAAUUGGGCUCUGAACCCUUCAAAUUUAAUGCAGGAAAAUAAAUGGUCCACAGUUUGUGAUGAGAUCCCAUCGCAGUCGCAACCACUUAUUCUCAAUAAUUAACUACUUACAUUCAAUUAAAUUUGCGCAAGUAAUGACGGAAAUUGCCAUUCCUUGUUAACAUUUAAAUUAAUAAGAUAUUGCUGAAAGUGCGAUUGCCAAGGUAUCUUCUCUCAAUGGAAGGAAUAUAGUUAUAGGUGGUCCUAUCAGUGAUAUCAUCAUCCAUUCCGUUUGCCACAUCUCAGUAAUUAUUUUCUUGAUCUUUUUGAUGUACUGAUGAGGAUUUUAAAGAGAGAUGUCCUAACUUCCACUGAGGCAAUAACUUUAGCUAAUUUAUCCACUCAUAUUACCCUGAAUGUCUGUAUGAUCUUUAAUCCAAUGGAAGCUAAUUUUGAGUUUGUGUUCAUUAUUCGUUACGAUCGAAUUCUUUGCUCCUAUGUUUCCAUUCAUGAAUAAGCCGUCCUUCUGUCAGUAAGGAUAAUGUAGUGAUUAUAUUUCAAAUGUUUCUUAGUGAUUUCAAAUACAUGCUCUUAAAAAUGGCAUAAAAAUCAUGGGUCAUUGUCCAAAUAGCUUUCCAAUUUAUAAUAUCCUUGGAAGAUAUGACCAUUUGAAUUCAUGAAGACAAUACCUGACUCAACAUUAUUACUUUAUUUACAGCCAUUUAAAUGUACAAGUUAUUUGGUUUAUUUUUUCGGAUGCCUGCUCCAAUUAUUCAGGUCCAUUAUCAUCAGAGUGAAACUUAUCAAACCCAUUCUUAUUGAUUUCCAAGCAACUUGCCAGGUAAUGUUUCCGAUGGAUUCGGAUUAUCUUGAGGUGAUUGGAUUUUAUAAACAGGACAGCUACAACAAACGCUCUUACAAGAGCCUUAGUCAUUCCCAUUGCUGACGUAAGAAGCUUUCUCUUGUUACCGGCACUUCUCCAGAUUUCUGCCCCAUAUGUACAAGUUCCGCAGUCAUUUUGUAUAUGAUUUCCAUGGAUUUCGAACUAAGAUUCCAAUUCUUGUUAGAUGUGAACCACUGCAGACCAUGAGUAACGUUAACAGCUUUAUCAUAACAUUAAUGUGAAGAAUCCAGCUGAACAAUUAAGAACAGUUCCCAGAUAGGGCAAUUUCUUAACGCUUGGGAUACGCCGUCCUUGAUUUUAGUGUCUUUCUUUUGAAUGAAUCAUUCUUUCCCACUACGAGCCCAGCAGAUUUGUCAAUGUUAAUACCAAUUUUGCUUUUCUUACAUCAUUCCACGAUUUUUCCAAUGAUUUCAUUAAUAAUAAUUUCUAGAUUGUCUCUAUUGUUAAUCACUAGAAUAGUUUCGUCAGCAAAUCCUUGCAAAAGUGGAUUUUUCUAUAGUGCACCAGCAACUAUGUCCAAUCUGGAGAUCGGUUUCAGACUUAUUGAUGUGAACACGUUGUAAAAUGAUCGGACUGAGAGUGAAGCGCGAUCGAACCGUGAGCGGCUCGAUAGUGUGGCUCGGAUCUGAAGGACUACAAAAAUGGUUGGAC